UCCUCCUCGCUCCCCUCUGACCCGGUGUCUAGUCUCUCCGUCUUCCUGUUCCAAACCACGUGGACGCGCCGGGGGCUGCGGGGCUGCGGGAGGCAGCCAGGGCCGCCGCCACCGUCGUAUCCCCCGCCGCUUGGGUUGCGCGCUCCGCGCCCGUCUGAAGUCGCAGCUCCGGGACCGCCCGCGCCUCUGCAGAGGGCGCGCACAUGGCGACCCAGGAGCACUGCCUCAGCUACGCGGGCUGCAACUUCUUGCGCCAGCGUCUGGUCCUGUCCACGCUGAGCGGGCGCCCCGUCAAAAUCCGAAAGAUUCGGUCCAGGGACGACAACCCGGGCCUCCGAGACUUUGAAGCCAGCUUCAUAAGACUGUUGGACAAAAUAACUAAUGGCUCUCGAAUUGAAAUAAACCAAACAGGAACAACCUUAUAUUACCAGCCUGGCCUCCUAUAUGGUGGAUUCGUGGAACAUGACUGUAGUGUCCUUCGCAGCAUUGGCUAUUACCUGGAGAGUCUUCUUUGCCUGGCUCCAUUUAUGAAACACCCAUUAAAAAUAGUUCUGCGAGGAGUGACCAACGACCAGGUUGAUCCUUCGGUUGAUGUUCUUAAGGCAACAGCACUCCCUCUAUUGAAACAGUUUGGGAUUGAUGGUGAAUCAUUUGAGCUAAAGAUUGUGCGACGGGGAAUGCCUCCUGGAGGAGGAGGCGAAGUGGUUUUCUCAUGUCCUAUACGGAAGGUCCUGAAGCCCAUUCAGCUCACAGAUCCAGGAAAAAUCAAACGUAUCAGAGGAAUGGCGUACUCCGUGCGUGUGUCACCUCAGAUGGCGAACCGGAUUGUGGAUUCUGCGAGGAGCAUCCUGAACAAGUUCAUACCCGACAUCUAUAUUUACACAGACCACAUGAAGGGGGUCAACUCUGGGAAGUCUCCCGGCUUUGGGUUGUCACUGGUUGCUGAGACCACCAAUGGCACCUUCCUCAGUGCUGAACUGGCCUCCAACCCCCAGGGCCAGGGAACAGCAGUGCUUCCAGAGGACCUCGGCAGGAACUGUGCCAGGCUGCUGCUGGAGGAAAUCUACAGGGGUGGCUGUGUGGACUCGACCAACCAAAGCCUGGCUCUACUGUUCAUGACCCUUGGACAGCAGGAUGUUUCCAAAGUCCUGCUAGGACCACUCUCUCCCUACACGAUAGAAUUUUUGCGGCAUUUGAAGAGCUUUUUCCAGAUUAUGUUUAAAAUUGAAACCAAGCCAUGUGGUGAAGAACUCAAGGGCGGGGAUAAAGUACUGAUGACCUGUGUUGGCGUUGGCUUCUCCAGCCUUAGCAAGACCCUCAAGUGAUACCUGUCACAAGAUAAGGCCCCAGUGCCUACAGACAAAGCAGAGACUGCCAAGGACAGCAAAGGGACCAAGUCCAAAUGUGUUCUUCCAGUGGCAUCGAUAUUCCUCAGGAGGCCCAGUCACUGUAAGAGCGCCCUCGGCUUACCUGGAGGAAGAGUGUGCCCUCAGGACACGGUUGUCCUGCUAGAACAGAGUUGCAGCUGUGUUCAGCCAUGCUUCCUCAGCCCACAUGCCUGGGCUUAGGGUCAUUUUCCAGACCUGUGGAGUAACCUGUGGUUACCGUUCUUUCUGCAAGGACUUAACCUCUUUGAGGCUUGGUUUCUGUUGUGGGGAUUAAAUGAGAUAAUACGUGUGAAAGUCAUUUUGAGUCAUGCAGUGCUGUGCGAAGGUCAGAAAUUGCUAGAUUAGACUAUUUGAUCUCUUCUGAGUAGAUUGCUAUUAUGGACACAAUACUGAUCCUUAUCUGCUUCAUUGUAUGCAUAUGUGAGGGAUGGGUAGCUGUAGAGGGCGGGGGUCCAGCUAAAGUUCUGGGUGUUUUCCGCAGCCCAGGUGUGCUAUACAUUUUGUUUUAUUCUCACAAUAACCGUAUAGUGUAAAUUUUUUAUCUCCACAAGAAAAUUCAAAAAGGAUAUUUUGUUCCUUUGAAAUUUAUAAUGUAAAGACAUUAGAUCUCUUGAUGUAAAGAUCUUAAUGUAAUAGAGUCAACAUCUUGGAUUUUCCCUGCUUACAAGUUAAUAAAUUAGAUUAUUACUGGUUUGUUGAUGCUAGCAGAAGACAUGAGAGUCCUGGGUCAGAGACGAAGAACUUGGAUUACUCAGCAUAGUCAACAGCAUAAGUUUCUUGUUUAUGUUGGUUUCCCUACCCCCCACAUCCCACAGUGGACGUGGAGGGGCCCGGGUAGAUGCCAUGCAGAUAAUGGGUUUGCAUCACAGCCAAGAAACUUGUGUGCUUGGGGACUCCGCCUCUUUUGUGCAGGUCUGUUCUUUUUUCCCCAUGAAGGUGUUACUCCAUCCCUCAAGAUUGCUUGCCGCAAACACUGUUCUGAGAAAGGACUCAGGUAAAGAGGUAAAGGGUAUUCCCACCUAGCAAGAAUGUGUGGGAAUACUCAGGACCUAUGGUAGAUUUCCCCUGCCAACUAAUAGAGUCUACAUUUGGUGUGUGUAUGGGGUUGGAGUUGGUAGAAGGGGAAAGAGCUAACUCUUCCUGCUGGAAUUCCAAAUGGUAUCCUCCACCUGGGGUGGGCUUUUGAAGUAAGCACAGGUCUUUGCCUCACCAGUCCCUCUUGGUUCUCUUUUAUUUUUCAAUGAAAAGGGGUUAGAGGAAGGCUGUGCUCUGAUGAUGGGGUGGGAGGAUGUGGAGGUAGAGCACUAACACUGAGGAAUGCCAGGACAUUCUGAACUGAGGCACUUGCUGAGAGCGUUACAUGUUGCGUUGGUAAUUCAGCAGGCUAUAACAAAUGCCCACAAACUUAGCAGCUUAAAACAACACCCAGUUAUCAUUUCACAGUUCUGUAGGUCAGACAUCCAGGCAGGCUUGGUUGGGUUCUCUGCUUAGAGUGUCGUAAGGCUGAUGUCAAGGUGUCAGCUGGGCUGGGCUCUCACCUGAAGGCUCUGGGAAAGAAAGAACAUGCUUCCAGCUCAUUCUGGUUGUUGGCAGAAUUCAGAGUGUAGGACUGAAGUCACUGUUUCCUUGCUGUCUUGUCAGCCGGGACAACUCUCAGCUUAUAGACACUGCCUGCAUUCCUGUGCACUUGGUUCCCUCCAUCUUAAGCCAGCAAUGGUGCCUGGAAUCCUGGUGCUUCGAAUCUGGCUUCCUCUUGUGAUGCAAGCUGGGGAAAACAUUGCUUUUAAAUGACUCAUAAUAGACCCACCUGGAUAAUCUCCCUAUCUUAAGGUCAACUGAUGACAGCAGUACCUAGAUUUGUGUUUGAGUAACCAGGGGCUGGGAAUCUUAGAAUUCUGCCUACCACACACACUCCAAUCUUACUAUGUGCAGUUGACAUUUGAAUCUGCUUCUGCCCAUACAGAAUUCAGAUCCAGAACUAAGGGGCCAUGUUCCUUUAUUUAUCCAUCCAUCCAUCCAUCCAUCCAUCCAUCCAUCCAUCCAUCCAUCCAUCCAUCCAUCCAACCUCCCAGAAUUAGGAGAAGGGCCAUGUUGCUUUGGACAUAUCAAAUACUGUAUAGCAGGAGCCUCUGUCCCUUGGUGCAAGUCCUGGAAAUGGUACUGUGAGUCAAUUCAGAGUGGUAUGUAGAGGCCAGGCAGUGCUCCUGUCUGCUGCAAACAUGGACGUGUCUGGCGGGGUUCCAGCCUUCUAUUUGGCACAGCUGCUUCUGGAGCUAAAACAUCUGGCAGUAGUGGUAAUGGUUGCCAAAAGGAGGACAAGUGUAAUAUUUAUUUAAACAGCACACUUCCAGCCCCUUCUCAAAUUCCC